rnacentral:rRNA from 1 species
CCUACGGGAGGCAGCAGUGAGGAAUAUUGGUCAAUGGACGCAAGUCUGAACCAGCCAUGCCGCGUGCAGGAUGACGGCUCUAUGAGGUGUCAACUGCUUUUGUACGAGGGUAAACCCCGAUACGUGUAUCGUGUUGAAAGUAUCGUACGAAUAAGGAUCGGCUAACUCCGUUCCAGCAGCCGCGUUAAUAAGGAGGAUCCGAGCGUUAUCCGGAUUUAUUGGGUUUAAAGGGUGCGUAGGCGGUUUGAUAAGUUAGAGGUGAAAUGUCGGGGCUCAACCCCGAAACUGCCUCUAAUACUGUUGGACUAGAGAAUAGUUGCGGUAGGCGGAAUGUAUGGUGUAGCGGUGAAAUGCUUAGAGAUCAUACAGAACACCGAUUGCGAAGGCAGCUUACCAAACUAUAUCUGACGUUGAGGCACGAAAGCGUGGGUAGCAAACAGGAUUAGAUACCCUUGUAGUC